rnacentral:misc_RNA from 1 species
CCUCCGUUGGUGAACCAGCGGAGGGAUCAUUACCGAGUGCAAACUCAUAACCCUUUGUGAACCUAUAUCUGUUGCUUCGGCGGCUCGCUCUCGGGCGAGCCCGCCGGUAAUAUCAGUAUCUCUGUUUGAACCCGACGAUACUUCUGAGUGUUCUUAGCGAACAGUUAAAACUUUUAACAACGGAUCUCUUGGCUCUA